GAUGAACGCUGGCGGCGUGCCUAAUACAUGCGAGUCGAGCGAACAGACGAGGAGCUUGCUCCUCUGACGUUAGCGGCGGACGGGUGAGUAACACGUGGAUAACCUACCUAUAAGACUGGGAUAACUUCGGGAAACCGGAGCUAAUACCGGAUAAUAUAUUGAACCGCAUGGUUCAAUAGUGAAAGACGGUUUUGCUGUCACUUAUAGAUGGAUCCGCGCCGCAUUAGCUAGUUGGUAAGGUAACGGCUUACCAAGGCGACGAUGCGUAGCCGACCUGAGAGGGUGAUCGGCCACACUGGAGCUGAGACACGGUCCGGACUCCUACGGGAGGCAGCAGUAGGGAAUCUUCCGCAAUGGGCGAAAGCCUGACGGAGCAACGCCGCGUGAGUGAUGAAGGUCUUCGGAUCGUAAAACUCUGUUAUUAGGGAAGAACAAAUGUGUAAGUAACUAUGCACGUCUUGACGGUACCUAAUCAGAAAGCCACGGCUAACUACGUG
rnacentral:rRNA from 1 species